GUGAAACAGAAUCGAGGAUCAGUGAUAAUGUCGAAUUGCUCGAACCAUGUUAAUGCUUGGUAGAGCUCGAAACAUUGUGUCGGCCAUCGCGAUGGAUCGACGGCCAUUUUGGAAGUAGGUCAAGGAACUCUCCCUUCUACCCUACGUUGUGGGGCCGAACGUCCCGCGGUAAAUCAACAAAUUAUAUUCGAUUAAAUUGAUACGUUAUCGUGCGAUUUGAAAUAUUUAUUAAGAAAAUAUUUAUUUAUUUAAUAAAACAAAGUUAUCGUUA